rnacentral:rRNA from 1 species
GGGGCUUUGACAUGGGCGCAAGCCUGAUCCAGCCAUGCCGCGUGAGUGAUGAAGGCCUUCGGGUUGUAAAGCCCUUUUGUGGGGAAAGAUAUCGAGGGGGCCCAAUACCAUGACGACCCGUGACGGCUACCCUGCCAAUAAGCGCCGGUCUAACUUCGUGCCAGCAGCCGCGGUAAUA